CUGGACAUAAUGCCGGAGAGGUAGGGAAACUAGGGUAGGAUACCGAUUUGAUAGAAGUCUUAGUCCGCCGGCUGAUGUUGAAUGUUACCCCGUCCGGGGUAUAUGACCUGGCGUCGAAAUCCAGAGCUCUGACAUCCGAGACCCUCUUGCAUGAGACAAGGCAGAGCAGGCAAACCAACUUGGCAGAUAGUUGUUUUAGGGAGAGCCCUGAAUUAGUGGGCCAGGAUGAGAGGAAGGCCAAC